rnacentral:rRNA from 1 species
AACGAACGCUGGCGGCAUGCCUAACACAUGCAAGUCGAACGAGACCUUCGGGUCUAGUGGCGCACGGGUGCGUAACGCGUGGGAACCUGCCCUUAGGUUCGGAAUAACUCCCCGAAAGGGGUGCUAAUACCGGAUAAUGUCUUCGGACCAAAGAUUUAUCGCCUUUGGAUGGGCCCGCGGUGGAUUAGCUAGUUGGUAGGGUAAAAGCCUACCAAGGCGACGAUCCAUAGCUGGUCUGAGAGGAUGAUCAGCCACACUGGGACUGGGACACGGCCCAGACGCCGACGGGAGGCAGCAGAGGGGAAAAAUGGGGAGGGGGCGAAAGCCUGAUCCAGCAAUGCCGGGGGAGUGAUGAAGGGCUUAGGGUGGGAAAGCUCUUUUACCCGGGAUGAUAAGGACAGGACCGGGAGAAUAAGCUCGGGAAAACUCCGG